rnacentral:rRNA from 1 species
GAUGAACGCUGGCGGCGUGCUUAACACAUGCAAGUCGAACGAAGCACUUUAUUUGAUUUCCUUCGGGACUGAUUAUUUUGUGACUGAGUGGCGGACGGGUGAGUAACGCGUGGGUAGCCUGCCUUGUACAGGGGGAUAACAGUUGGAAACGGCUGCUAAUACCGCAUAAGCGCACGGCAUCGCAUGAUGCAGUGUGAAAAACUCCGGUGGUAUAAGAUGGACCCGCGUUGGAUUAGCUAGUUGGUGAGGUAACGGCCCACCAAGGCGACGAUCCAUAGCCGACCUGAGAGGGUGACCGGCCACAUUGGGACUGAGACACGGCCCAAACUCCUACGGGAGGCAGCAGUGGGGAAUAUUGCACAAUGGGCGAAAGCCUGAUGCAGCGACGCCGCGUGAGCGAAGAAGUAUUUCGGUAUGUAAAGCUCUAUCAGCAGGGAAGAUAAUGACGGUACCUGACUAAGAAGCCCCGGCUAACUACGUG